rnacentral:ncRNA from 1 species
GCGAGCGACACGGGGUGCCUGCGAGGGCUGAGAUGAGACCCGUCGAACCUGCUCUGGCUCGUACCAGCGAAGGGAUGUCCGGCGAUGACGCU